GGGCGGGACUUCUGGUCACAAGAUGGCAACCAGGGGGUGGGGUACCUGUCAAGGGGCAGGGCUACCCUUGCAGGCCCUUGACAGAUCACCAAAACUCAUUAAGUGGCCCUCCAGCUGAAUUAAUUGACCACCCCUG